rnacentral:rRNA from 1 species
GACUYUCGGCAACGGAUAUCUCGGCUYUCGCAUCGAUGAAGAACGUAGCGAAAUGCGAUACUUGGUGUGAAUUGCAGAAUCCCGUGAACCAUCGAGUCUUUGAACGCAAGUUGCGCCCGAGGCCACUCGGCCGAGGGCACGCCUGCCUGGGCGUCA